CCUACGGGCGGCAGCAGUGGGGAAUAUUGGACAAUGGGGGCAACCCUGAUCCAGCCAUGCCGCGUGUGUGAAGAAGGCCCUCGGGUUGUAAGGCACUUUCAGUGAGGAAGAACGCCUGGUGGUUAAUACCCAUCAGGAAAGACAUCACUCACAGAAGAAGCACCGGCUAACUCCGUGCCAGCAGCCGCGGUAAUACGGAGGGUGCGAGCGUUAAUCGGAAUUACUGGGCGUAAAGCGCGCGUAGGUGGCUUGAUAAGCCGGUUGUGAAAGCCCCGGGCUCAACCUGGGAACGGCAUCCGGAACUGUCAAGCUAGAGUGCAGGAGAGGAAGGUAGAAUUCCCGGUGUAGCGGUGAAAUGCGUAGAGAUCGGGAGGAAUACCAGUGGCGAAGGCGGCCUUCUGGACUGACACUGACACUGAGGUGCGAAAGCGUGGGUAGCAAACAGGAUUAGAUACCCGGGUAGUC
rnacentral:rRNA from 1 species